AUUGAACGCUGGCGGCAGGCCUAACACAUGCAAGUCGAGCGGUAGAGAGGUGCUUGCAUCUCUUGAGAGCGACGGACGGGUGAGUAAUGCCUAGGAAUCUGCCUGGUGGUGGGGGAUAACGUUCGGAAACGGACGCUAAUACCGCAUACGUCCUACGGGAGAAAGCGGGGGAUCUUCGGACCUCGCGCCAUUAGAUGAGCCUAGGUCGGAUUAGCUAGUUGGUGAGGUAAUGGCUCACCAAGGCGACGAUCCGUAACUGGUCUGAGAGGAUGAUCAGUCACACUGGAACUGAGACACGGUCCAGACUCUACGGGAGGCAGC
rnacentral:rRNA from 1 species